UAUUUCUUGUCUGACAACAUUUCCUGAGAGAUUCACAAAUUGGCUUCAUGUGAGAGAUAAAAAUGAUGACGUCCAGACUACAGAGCAAUUGGAAAACUCAUCAAUGUCGCAAGAUCUGUCAACUCCUGGUGAAAAAAAGAGCACAUCUUUUAACUCUUGACUUGGAGUGCACCUUUUAAAGUGAAACCUUAUGAAGAAAGCUGGAUGAAUGAUGCCCGCCUCCACUCAUAAGCACGCAAGUGUGACGCAGCCUUCCUUCUGCACAUUAACUUCAAAAGCUCCUGACAAUCUGUGUUGGCAAGCCCAUUACAUCCGUUCCCUUC
rnacentral:lncRNA from 1 species